ACAUCCAUAUCACGUUGAAACACCAGUUCUUGUACGAUCACUGAAGUUAAGCAACGUCGAGCUUGGUCAGUAUCUAGAUGGGUGACCACUUGGGAAUACCAGGUCCUGUA
rnacentral:rRNA from 1 species